UUUCUACUCUCUCCGUCCAACAAAGGAUGUCUCAACUUUCACUAAAUUUGAAUCCAUCUAUACACUAAGUCAUGUCUAGAUACAUCCAAAUUUUGAAAACUUGAGACAUCUUUUGUUGGACGGAGGGAGUAUUUA
rfam:Brachypodium distachyon strain Bd21 chromosome 3, whole genome shotgun sequence.